rnacentral:lncRNA from 1 species
CUCAAAUGUUACUUGUUGGUUGAACAUGACAUGCCUGCUAAGCAGUUAAUAAAAGGGAAAGGUGGUUGCCAUUGUCUCUGAAAGCUAUUCUUUCCAUUUAGGUCUACAGGGAAUAUGCUAUACUGAAAAUUUGAAAAGGAGAAUGGAAGCGAGGGUUGUGGCUCAAGAAUUGGUCCGCACUGCCCAAAAGCCUUAGAGAAAUGAUUUUUUCUCAGGUAGCAUAGCUGUAGAUUUGUUCCUCAUCUCUGAUCAUGUUCAUCUACACACUAGCAGCACGAGAGGCAAUGGCAUGCCCACAACUUCUCACCUCACCAGGGAGCCAAGACAUGGAUCAGGACCUUGCAGGUCACCCAUGGUCCUGGAUCAUACAAGUUACUCAGAUGUCAGGAUGUUUGGGGCAUACAAGAAUGAAGUCAUCAGCUUUGCUUGAAAUUUGGCAAUUACAGGCACGCUGGGAUUUUAUCAAGGUAAAAAGAAUCAGAGUGACCACAGAAGAAAGAGAAGAAGCUCUUCCUUACACAGUAGCAAAAAAUUCAGUGUUUCAUAUUCCUUAUAGAAAUACAAUCUUGUGGUCAAAAAUACUUUGAUAUGUUUAAUAUAUUUCAAGCAUUUCCUGAAGUAUUUCCAUGUAUAUUAAUCAUGAAAUAUUCAUAUAUUUUUAAUAUGGGGGAAGAACCUUGAACUUUAACCAUGUAUCUGCAAGAAAAUGUCUAUUCUUCAUUCCAAGGUGUGUAUAAGGUUUAGGUAAGGAGUUUUGCUCAUUUCAAAUCUAUGGGACCAUAAAUUGUCUGUACAUGUAUAGAAAUCUCCCUUUGAGCUUUUGGUUUGAUACCAAUACUGAUUAUGCUUGCAGUGUGACAACAGUUACAUGUCCCUUGUUUAUUUUCCCCUCCAUCUGCAUGCAAAGAAGUCCUUGCUGUCAAUAUCCGUUACCCACAUGUAGCCAGAAGAGAUUGGACCUCACCCCAUUCCACCAGCAUUUUUCAAACUGUUAUAGCUAUGAGAUGAAAUCUCAUUUAUUUUAUGGCCACAAAUUUCAACAGGAAAUAGAGGGAUAAUUUGUUCUUCAUGGGAAAAAAAAAAAAAAAAAAAAAAGUUUCUGAUACCACCCAACACUUCAUUCUCAAUGAAGUUAGCUUUAAAGUUUCUUAAAGAGUUAUCUUAAAAAGAGAGAGAAUUUUUAAGUAACUUACAAAAUUGAAUAUAUAGUUGAUGGUUGAACUUAACAUGUCUGAUUCUCUGUUGCUAUGGAACUGGGAAGAAUCUGCAAUCUUUCAUUUGAUUUCAUUGAUGUAAGACAGCCAGUGACAUAUUGGAACACACUUCUUGCAUUACUAUUUCUAGAGUUUUCCUGAUUCUUUACCUGUUGAGUUUGAACUGAUAACUGAUUUUUUGAUCACAUAGACAAAAGGACAAUAUAAUAUGCUAUGUGAUUUUAGAAAUCCUUAUUAAGCAAGACAGAGUGCUGUACUUGCUCUCAGCACAUUUCAUGUAUGUGAAACUGAGUAAUAUUUUCCCUGCAUGUCUUAUGUAGACUAGACUAGACUAGACUAGACUAGAAUCAUUUAGGUUGAAAAAGACCUCAAA